rnacentral:rRNA from 1 species
UACGAAGGGGGCUAGCGUUGUUCGGAAUUACUGGGCGUAAAGCGCACGUAGGCGGAUUGGCAAGUCAGGGGUGAAAUCCCGGGGCUCAACCUCGGAAUUGCCUUUGAUACUGCCAGUCUAGAGUCCGGAAGAGGUGGGUGGAAUUCCUAGUGUAGAGGUGAAAUUCGCAGAUAUUAGGAAGAACACCGGUGGCGAAGGCGGCCCACUGGUCCUGAACUGACGCUGAGGUGCGAAAGCGUGGGGAGCAAACAGG